UUAUUAGAACCUGAGAUAUUUUGUAAACAAAAUCAGGAAACCGUGAUUGCUUUCAAUAUAUUUCCAUGCGACAGAAUUGAACAUGCAAGAGAAUCUCACGACUUUGAGUAUGAAAUGAAUAAUGAUAGGAAUGUUUGUCUCAUGGAGCAUUGGAUAAAUUUAGUGCCUUUCCUUUUGAGAAUUAUUUAAAAUCUCUCAAGAGUUUACUUAAAUCAGGUUACAAACCUUUAUAGCAAGCUGCGCGUCGUGAUCUAGAAAGAACAGUAUCAGUGUCAGUGCAUCUUCCAACUAAUGAUAAAGAAGUUACUUUGUCACGUAGGCAUUAUUGUGAUGGCGAGAUCAUUGAUGGUUUUUAUUUUCGAAGUAUUUCUAUUGGUAAUGUUGUUUUACAGGUUGGUCAGAGAAACUCUUGUUUUAUGACAAUUGACGGAAAUAUAUUUGUAUUGUUAAAUGUUGUGAAAAGACGAGAAGAUAUACACCUAAUUACAAACAAGUUUAACAAAAAAGAAGAUUUUUAUACAUAUCCUUUUCCUUCAUCUCUUGUUCGUAUUUUUAAAGUGUCAAAUCUGGGUGACCAAAGAAUUGUACUGCCAUUGACAAAUAUUCAAUCAAAAUUUUGUCGUUUUAAAAUUUUUACCUGACGAUGUCAACAAUGAUAAUAUUUGCUACGAUAUCGGCCUUACAAAGUGGUUGAUUGAAGUGAAUGAAGAUAUGGAAGGUCAGACAUAUUGGCCACCGCGUAAUGUUGAAGCUGGAAGCUUGGUCCGUAAAGAAGUAAAUGCAGACGAAACUUGGCCCAAAUAUCGUGUACAUGUUAAGAGAUAUCACGAUUUAAAUACUCAGUUAUUUAAGAUAGACAGGAAAUUGGAGAACUUAAGUUGCAAAAUAAAUACAGUUAUAACGAAUCAAGGAAAACUAUACAGAUGUUUGCUUCCUCAGGAAAAGAAAAUACUGGAACCACAUAACAUGCCUUCUUUGCCUUUUCGUAACGAAUUUUAGUGUGAUUAUCUUACCUCUUUUGGAUCUGCUAGUGAUGAAAGAAAAACUGCUACCAUAAUUAUGCAAAAACUUAUGUAUAAUUCUUUGGCCAAAAAUUAUAAUUUUGAUGGCCAUGGUGAGAAAAGAGGUUUAAAAACACUGCAACUGUGGACAGUUAUUGAAGGGUCUUUGUCACUUAAAUUUCCGGACAGCGACCUUGAUACAGCACUUAAAACCAUAAAGUCAUGGUUACAAAAUGCUAGCGGUAGGAAACAAGAGGAAUAUAUUGGCUUUGAUAGCCAUUAGAAAAACAUUUCUCUCUUUUGUUGCGGAGAUCUCAGAGAGUCGGCGAGUCUCGAAGGCGAAACUUCUGCGCAAAGUGGUAGACGAAAUCCACCGUGAUCCGCAACACCUUAUGCUGACGACGGAUUAUAUUCUCAUUGUAUUCGCCGUUCCCUUCGAUCAUGCCUGUGACAGGAUUGCUAAACCACUCUUUAAAUUCGCGAUGAGACUGGAAAACGUUAGGCAUAAGAAAGUGCAUGAGCGACCACAGUUCCAUUAAAUUAUUCUUGAUAUUUUGCGCCUCGUCUAAGAUAAGAUAUUUUUAUUUUUUCCGUGUAAAGCUUUGGUAAUCCUGUAUUACUAACUUUAGCUAAUAAGUAGCUGCUAAUUGGCUGUUAUUAAUUUAUUACCUUCCUACUUUAGCGUAAAUGUUAAACGGGUUGUUUCUUGUCGCUCUUCUCAAGUUGUGAGAAUAAGUAAGAAAAAAUUGUGUUGCUAGAUUUUUAUAGCUCCCUUUUUUUUUAUAUAUAUAGAAUUGAGACACAGAGUUUGAUAAGUACAAUUGUCUAUGUAUGCAGGCGAACACAGGUGCAAGUUUCCGUAGUAAUAAUUUAUGUUCUGCGAAAAAUAUUUAUUUAUAAUGAUUGCACAAAAAAUAGAUCAAGCAUCACGAUGUUUAAUUUGUUCAUUUUUUUAAAUACUAGUGUGUAUAUAAGAAAGUCUCCUUUUUUUUUCUUUAAUAAAUAUGAUAUGUGCCGAAACUGAAACAGGAAUUGUCGCGUGAAAAAAUAUGUAUACAUCAUCGAUAUAACGUGUUGUAACAUGUAACGUAAGAAUAUUAAACAUUUGUAAGGCGUAA